AACGUAGGACGCGAGCGUUAUCCGGAGUUACUGGGCGUAAAGAGCGCGCAGGCGGUCGUUCAAGUCGAGUGUGAAAGCCCCCGGCUCAACUGGGGAGGGUCACUCGAUACUGAUCGACUUGAAGGCAGGAGAGGGAAGCGGAAUUCCCGGUGUAGUGGUGAAAUGCGUAGAUAUCGGGAGGAACACCAGUGGCGAAGGCGGCUUCCUGGCCUGUUCUUGACGCUGAGGCGCGAAAGCUAGGGGAGCAAACGGG
rnacentral:rRNA from 1 species